rnacentral:rRNA from 1 species
GACGAACGCUGGCGGCGGGCUUAACACAUGCAAGUCGAACGAACGCCUUCGGGCGUUAGUGGCGCACGGGUGAGUAACACGUAGGCAAUCUACCCUCGGCUGGGGAAUAACCAGGGGAAACCCUGGCUAAUACCGCAUAACAUCUGGACGUCGCCUGGCGACCAGAUCAAAGCUUUAUGUGGCCGAGGAUGAGCCUGCGUCGGAUUAGCUAGUUGGUGGGGUAACGGCCUACCAAGGCGACGAUCCGUAGCGGGUCUGAGAGGAUGAUCCGCCACACUGGCACUGAGACACGGGCCAGACUCCUACGGGAGGCAGCAGUGAGGAAUAUUGCGCAAUGGACGAAAGUCUGACGCAGCCACGCCGCGUGCAGGAAGACACCCCUCUGGGCGU